UUUCUUGCCCUUCAAACAAGACACACAGGCAGCGCUUUACUCAGUCCCUAAGGACCCCAAAGCGCUUUACACUACAUUCAGUCAUUCACCCAUUCACACACUGGCAAUGGCAAGAUACGUUGUAGCCACAGCUGCCCUGGGCGCACUGACAGACACGUGGCUGCCGGACACUGGUGCCACCGGGCCCUCUGUCCACCACCAGUAGGUAAACAUGGGGUUUCAUUUCUAACUAGUCACGAUGCCAGAGAGCGAUAGACCUCAACACACUUGGAUACCUCGAGUAAUAAGGUGUAUCUAUGGGAUUUUUCUCAUCAUGUUUAUUGUUGAGGGGAUUGUUGGAUGUGUGUACUUUAAUGACUGUCCAAGGGCGCCCUCCAUUCCCGUCAUUCUGGUUUUUUGUGGAUUCAUACCUGUCUUGUGGGGAUUGAGCCGGUUUUUGAACAGGUGCAAUAUUUUCUUCGACUGUCUGUUCCUCUACCUCUUUUUUGCCUGGUUCAUCAUCGGUAGCAUAAUCGUCUACUCCAUCUAUGAACCCGACUACAACAAGAACACUACAGACACCGAUCACUACUGCAACAAGACGCUCUACCUGUCUGCAUUUUGUUGCAUCACCCUGACCUACGUCCUGACAGGUGUUUAUGUUUUCACUUAUUUUUUUGCUCGCUGCACCAACCAGAUGGUUUACGAUGAUGAGGAUCGGCCACUGCUGUGGAGCUAAUCAUAUGAAAGUGUGUACGUAGACCAAUACUGAUGAAACAGAUUAGAAUGGUGCCACAAUAAAAUAUAUCACACUGUAUGAACAUAUGCUACUACUACUACUAAUAAUAAUACUAAUGGCACGGACUGAAAUAAAAUCAUAAGCAAACAACAGACCAAAUAUUAUAUUAAUAUUUUAAUCUGUUCUUUAUUUAGAACAUCAUACAUUUAAGGAAGAAGUGAACAUGACUUAUUGAGAUACAGAAUUCGGUUAAGACACUGAUGACCCAUCAUGGCAGAGUAAAUGAUCAUGAUUUUCCCUGUUUAACAAACAUAUAUAAGUUUUGUGUUAAUGAAAUGUGUGAUUUUGUUUAUUUGCCAACAUUCAUGCCGUUUCUUUUUUGUUUAAUUUUAAGUCAACAAAAAUAAAUAAAUAAAUAAAUAAAUAAAAGGCUGCCCUUUUUAUUACCCCGUUA
ensembl:lncRNA